UUUAUCACAGCACUUGACGUCACACAUCACCACUACACAGAGAUCACUUUUUUUCGAAUUUGAAUUGGUUUAGUUAACUCGCUUUGCCAAAACACAACAAAUAUGGAUACAGACAAAGGUGGAACACAGACAAGAAAAAGAGAAAUCAGUCAUUGGGAAAUAUUGCAGGAAUAGGCCUAACCAUGGAGCGCUAGCCGGCUGGCCUUCCUUCAUAUUGACCACGUGCGUGGGUGCGUUGGCACACGUGCACGUUGAGUGACAUUAUAGUUAUACAAUGGAGGUAGGAAAAGUGAGCGCAUGGGGGUCGCUUUAAUCCGUUUAUUUUCGCGACUUUGUGUAUCAUCAAGACAACACGUAAGAUAUUAGUCUCUAAGGAAUCGCUGGCACACCUACGUGAUAACUGAUAUGGAAUUUUGAACGGUAGAUUGUGAGCUCUUGUAGUGCGUUUGUGAUCAUGUUUGCUGUUUUGGUGAUCUUUGGAACUGCUGUUGGACCCAAACACCUUUGAUCUCAUCAGCUUGGUUUGUCAGCCAGUGGUACUCGGGAUGCCAACUGCAGUGCAAAUCCAUUGACUGUGCUGUAUUGUAAAUCGCGUGGGAAGUUUCACCGCAGUCUUGGAAGAGACCUGCUCAACCAGCUCUAGUGUGUUUUUGGAAACCCAAGUUGAUGUGAUUUUCUCUGAUGUUUUAGCCGAGCAUCUCAUUAUUUCAUCAAUUUGUAAGCCUGUUCGAUUUUAUAAGAACUUCUUGUUUGACGUAUUGCAUGUGUCAUCUGUUAAGGAGUUUCCCUACACUACAGUUGCAUUUGAGUUUGAUCAAGUUAAAACUACCAUGGAAAAUAUGCAAACCUGGAUGAUAGGGUAGACCUUUUGAACACACGAGAGGGUGAAUCGUGGAGGAGAAUGCACAACAUACUUAAAUCACCUGUGUUUUGCACCUCUCCAUGAACAUUUAUGGUUCCAGCAAGAAUGGUAGCUGAUCCAGGUUUCCAGCUACAUCCAUCAACAAAAACAGCUAGAAAAACUGUCAUCCUCCUUACGAUGGUUGUUAGUGGGGAUAUUGAAUUAAAUCCAGGCCCCAAUCCCAGUGUGUCCGAUCUUUACGGGGCUUGUGGGAUCAUAGAUAAAGGGAGAGAAAGAGCGGUAUUCUGGGAGGAUUGUAACAAAUGGAAGCAUACUAAAUGCAAAAAAAAUAUACAUGUGAGUAUAGGGAUUUUCAAUAAAGGUCUGAUCCAUGGUAUUGUAGUGAGCGUAGCAGCCCUUGUAGAGCAUGCGAUGGAAAUGUACGAGGGUCCUAUGCCGCCAUAAUGUGUGACACAUGUGAAUGGUGGAUUCACGAAGCAUGUGCAGGUGUCUCGGAGUCUGCUUAUAAAUCGGCUACUACAGACCUCGGAGGAUAUGUGGAACUGCAUAAAUUGUGAACUUUCAUCAUUUCCUGACUCGUUCUUUGAGAACCGUGCAUUAGAUAAUGGUGGAGACUUGGUUGGGGCCGACACCUGGCAAAAACAGUUUGAAGGAUCUGCACCAUUGAUGGGGAACCGUCAAGAGUCUACCAAGAGAAAUUUAAGUUGUCUAUUGAUCAACUGUCAAACUAUUAGAAGAAAGUUGCUGAUCUACAAGUCCUCAUAAAGGUGCAUUAACCUGAUAUUAUUUGUGGUACGGAGUCAUGGCUUAAUUCAACUCUUGAGAGUGGCGAAAUAUUCCCAUCUAACUACAAAGUCUUUAGAAGGAUAGAAAUACAAACACCCCAGGAGGGGGGUGUUUCAGGCAGUUUCAACCAAAUUGGUGUCAAAUGAAUGUUCCAACAUGGAUACUACAUGCAACUGUGACGCUAUAUAAACGGAAACCAAAAAUAGCAAAUCCAAAGCAGUCGUGAUUGGAACAUUUUAUCGACCGCCAGAUGACAGAUGUGGUCAACAAAUUGACAAGCUGACAAAAUCUGUGGCUGUACUUAAAGGGAAAAUAAACUCUAUUGUUGUUGUUAUUUUGGGAGAUUUUAACCUGCCAAACUUAAACUGGAAUAAUUACGCUGUUACCGGAUCACAAGACUACAGCAAAAUGGCUGGAGAUAAGCUCAUCAAGAUGGUUACUGAAUAUGGCUUCAAGCAAUGUGUCAAAGAGCCCACUCGGUCACUGGGAGACGUAUGUAACAUCCUUGAUCAAGUUCUUGUGAAUAACCAGGGUGUAAUUAAGAACAGUGAGAUUGUGGAAGGAAUUUCUGAGCACGACAUGGUUUUAGUCGACACUGAUGUAGCUCCAAAGAGGAAGAAGCAACUCAAGAGGAAAGUUUAUUUGAAGCAAAAAGCAAACACAGAAGGGUUAGUAAACGACGUUAAGGCCUAUCAGUUAAUCUACAAUGCAGUAACAGAAGGUAAAUUACCAUAUUUCAAAUGGAAGCACAACCAACAGGUAUUGCUUGAUCUUUUGGAAAAGCAUAUAGCCCACAAGUUUGCAUCAAGUAGAUAUAAUCUACCAUGGUUCAGUAAUGAUCUUAAAAGAGAAUACAGAAGAAAAAGACGUCCCUACCAGACAGCAAAAAAAAGGGAAAUCAAGGAGAAGAGUGGCAAGCCUUCAAACAAUCUUGCAAAGGUAUGAGAAAUCAACUCUGCAAGGCAAGAACUCGGUACAUACAUGUGUAAAUUCGUACAUCCAAGAAAAUUUUAAGGCAAAUCACAAAACUUUCUGGUCAUUCAUAAAGAAGUUUCAGAGGGAAAAUAUUGGAGUGUCUGAUCUGGGAGAUGGCGAAAACAUCAUAAGCGACAGCAGAGCGAAAGCCAACUUAUUAAAUCAGCAAUUUCAGAGUGUCUUUACAAACAAAAUUCAAGUAACAACAAAUGUCAUGGGUCAUGGAGAUGUAUGUCCUGGAAUCUCCCUGUAACAGAUUUCUGGGUGUGGAAAAACAGCUUCAGGAAAUUGUUCCAUGUAAAGCACCAGGGCCAGGUAAUAUUCCGCCAUGGUUGUUAAAACUUCAAGUUGUUGCAGAACCACUAGCACCUGUUCUUCAAGACCUGUUUCAAAAUUCAGUGAAUACUGGGAUAGUACCAUCAACAUGGAAGACAGCAAAUGUUACUGCAGUCUUCAAGAAAGGGGCACGUUCAGGUCCUGCAAAUUACCGUCCAGUGUCUCUUACCUCCAUCCCUUGUAAAGUUCUCGAACAUAAAAUGUACAUGUAUAGUCUUUACGAGGAAACAUAUAUCUGAAACCUGCAAGAAGGCUCAGAGAGUAUGAAAUAUUCUGAGGAGGAACCUUUGGAGCUGUACUCCAAAAGUAAACAAAGCAGCGUUCUUCAUGGGUCGACCAUUGCUGGAAUAUUCGUCAUCUGCCUGGGAUCCCCACUUGGUGUCUGACAUUCAGCGUUUCGAACAGAUCCAAAGACAAGCUGCCAGAUUCAUUUCCAACAACUGCAGUAGAGCACCUGGCACCGUGACAAACAUACUCAAGGAACUUGGCUGGUCAUCCCUUGAGAUAGGACGUAAAACCAACAGGUUAUUCAUGAAGUUCAAGAUAAUCAAUAUGUUGGUCAAUGUUCAGUCUGAUGGUACCCUCCAAAUGUCAGAAUCCCCACGGGUCAUACAAAAAAAAUUGCAAAUCCAUUCUCACCAGGUUUUUGACAUUACCUUCUUCCCCAGAACAGUCAGGGAUUGAAACAACAUGCCGCAAUCUGUGGUCAGUGCAACAUCUGUGUCAGCCUUCAAGGAGGCAGUCGGGCAGUAUUUUCAUUGAUGGGUUGUUUUAAAUUUGCGUCAAUCUCCCCAUGCAAGGCGUAAACCUAAUACAGAUGGUGUGAUGUUUCCCCUGGAUGCUGUGUCCCCUGUACCAUACAGAUACAGACAGACCUAGUCCUUGAGACCAUGGAGAAAGGAAAAGACCAUGUUGAGACUAAUCCUAGGAGUAGGACUAGGAUCAACACUAUGGGUAGGCAUGCCUACACUCACUGGCUACAGUACAUGUGCAUGGCCCGUUUCUGUGAAGAUGACACGAGUAACUUUAGUAGGCUUUUUUUAUGCCCACUUAGAUUUUGCACACAUCUUGCAAAUUGUUAAUCCCUCCCAAGCAAGUCGUUGGGUGCGAUGAUGUGCUCACAUGCAGCUGUCAUACUAGGCCAUCCCAUAUGAUAUAAGCCCAUCAAGGUCAAAAAUAAUUUUUUUUUAGCGUGCUAGCCCAACUUCACUUAUCCAUGCUGUGCAUAUUUGAAUUUUUUAAAUGAUAUUUGGCGCUACUGCAUCGGCAUGAUGUAGAUCAGUCAAUACUAGUCUGAGCGACUUAGACUCUACAAAUUGCCUUUUUAAAGAUUCAGAUAUGGUCCUGCGAAACAUGGCAAUAUAAACACACUGUAUACUCAUCAGUGUGAAGUCACCAACUUGGUCUGGAAUCAACUCGCUCUGAGUCAACUUUGUCUCAGAUCAACUCAGUUCCAAGUCAACUUGGUCUCGAAAGCAGGCAACUCUUGAAAGCAGGCACAUGGCUGCAGCAUGAAUAAAAAUCUUCCAAGCUACAUGUUGUUUCAACACACUUUAGCAUACCUGUACACAUGUCCUAUACUGUCAUGGGCAGCUAAUACGCAAUGCCCGUGGCUGGUUCCCUGCCCAGUCACACUCUGCUUGUGGCAAAUCAUUGGUAGAACGGCUCGCACUCUGUGAUGUGACAUUAAAGAGACAAAACAGCCGUCAGUUUUGUACAAGUGGGGCAAAAUUUGUCUGGAGUGGGAAAACGGCAACAAAAAAGGCAACAUUUUGUCCUCCAAAUGAGGAAAAGGCAACUUUUCUGCAAUUAGCAACCUAGGGAAUAGUUUACCCCAUAAGUAAUGAGUGAACAUACCCAUGCAAUUUCAGCUCAUAAAGUCAAGUAGAUGUUAAGUUAUGCCCCCGGAUAUCCCGGAUAAAGUUUUUUGAAAGAAAUCCCUAUGAAUUGGGACAGGGCGCAGUAUAUGACGGAGGAUUAUACGUCGGGCCCUGUUUAUGGGUCUACCUUUCAAUAGGCCUACAUCCAUGAUUGUGCACCGUACAUGUAGACCUAUGUAGGCCGGCAUCAUACAUGACAAAAAUGUCGAGUUCACACACUUGCUACUGUGACUGAGUUCUGUACUGAGUUCCAAAGCCUUUGAAAUUGCAUCAAUCAUGUACUGUCUGUAGGUCUAUUGACCAAAUUUCCAUUUUUCUUUCCUUUUUUUUUUGAAGUGCCAAAUGAACGCUUUGAAAAUGUACCCACAAUUAAGAAAGUAACUGCUAAUGUUAUGCCUACUUUUCUGAAAAUAAGUUUGUACAUGUAUGUAUAUUUAGAGGUAAUACUAGAAUUUAUCAACUUUGAGAAACUUCUUACUGUAUGUGGGAUGUGGAAUUUUCAGAGAUUUGUUUAAGUGUGCCACAAAUAGGGAACAGUCAGCUGAAUUUGUGCCGAUUUCUGGAUGCUGUCGUUUUUGUAUUUCGGGUUUUUAAAUUUCAUGACACCAAAAUUGUUCACAGAGGUGAUCAGUGGUAUGUAUUUUAAAGGUUAUAAUGUCAUUAUUUACUGUAACUGAAUGAAUUCAAAGUUUUUCAGCAACGAGGUCUGGCAAUGAUGCAUUAGGAAAGUCAAGGCUAGUGGACUAUACCUCCGUGUACGUGGCCCUACUCCUAAACUAGAAGCAAGUGGAGGAUGGCUUAACAUUGGGAUAAAGUUCCCCGGCCGUGAACGGUAUCAGCCACAUACAGAUCUUCACCGGCAGUGAACAUGUACAGCUCCAGACACCAGCAGUUGCGAUGAUCUCAUCUAAGAACGUUAAUUUACUGCACACCACAUUAGGUCUGUCUCUUAAUCAAAUGCACCCUAUAUACCUGCAUUGCAUUGGCACACUUUGAUGCUGGACCCCACACAUGCAUACACACCUGGCAUCUGGCAAUCAGAUCAAGCCCCUUAUUGUCAUAAUAUCUGCUCUUGGAACAUUGAUGAAGGUCCAAGCAAGACGGCCAGAUUGUGGAAUCAAAGAGGGCCAGCAGUCUACAACCUUUAGAAAAGGAGUUUUAGAUAAUGGGCACUUGUUGGCAAGAGCAGAGAUGGUAGAGAGUGGAAGAAACAUGUGCAGUCCAUCCAGGAGAAGUCUGUCUUCUGCAGUGACUGGAAGUUGUCCUUUCAAGUAUUGAAGAUGUUGAGGCCAUACAUUGGUGUCACAGACACAUGCACAAAGAUCUCCGUUGUGUUUGCUGCAUCAGAGGCACCGCCGUAAAAUGCUGACCAACCAUAGAGGGCGCUAUUACCAUUUCAUGAAGCUUACUGCAAUCACACAAAGAGGAGAAACAGAACUGAAUGCUGCCUUAAUUGCACAACGGUAAUGGAAAGAGGACAAAAAGGACUGAAUGCUGCCUGAAUUCCCUUAUUUACAUCACAGCAGUAGCCCCCCACUCAUCCAGACAAGCUUGCGUUUAUAGCAAGAUAAAGAAAAUUGUGAAAUAUAUUCUCUAAAUUGAAAAAUCCAGAGGACCUGAGAA